rnacentral:misc_RNA from 1 species
AAUUGUAUACUUUUUAAACAACCUAAACAUGUUGUUACGUUCUAUUAUGUUCAGUAACAAUAUAGACAAUUUACCCUGCGUGUUCGAUUCUAUUUGCCAAAGCCUAGAGAGUGAUUGAGGUGGUUAGGACCAGUACCACGUAUGAGACGUGUUUAACUUUUUCCAAAUGCUGACAAGGUAUAUGUCUCGUAUUUCCCUGACGUUCUCUUUACGCCUGGGAAUUGACUGAGUGGACACUCCAAAGCUUUAGAUAUACCUGGCAUGCUAGAUCGUAUGCAUAUAUUUACGGAUUAAAGAUAUGUGUAUGAAUAUGGCGCUAGGAAUUUUGUGCUUAAAAGAGAGUUUGCGUUUAAUAGGUCUUUCGCAGACUAUACCGGAUAAUACCAAUUUCGGAGGCAUGAGGAUUGGGGAGGCUCGCGCUCAGUUAGAGAUGGUUAAGCUCUCAAUGGGAGUUUACAUCCAUUUUAUAAACGUGGUACUUUCAAAUCCGUACACCACAUAACUAAUCAAAACCGCUUCUAAACGGCUUUAAAUUCAUAUCUGUAUCAACUUGAGGGAUAGCGGCGUCGAUUCGAAAGGGCAACAGUGAUUCAGGAUGUGGAAAAGUCAAGGUUGCAUAAGGAUGCAUGAGAUGAAAUUCAAAUGUGUCAAAAACUCCUCGUUCCAUCGUUAAUCCGGUGUCAUUUAGUGCCUAUCGCAAGAGACAAAAAAAACUGAUCGAGUCGACAUUUUUUAAUUUGCUUGAGUCAUGUUUCUGUCCUUCAGUAUGACGAGAAUUAGCCCUUCCUGUUACAGAUUUUACGGCGGACUUUUUUCCUUUUCAUAUCUGUGAGAGGAAACCGCUAAGUAAAAGAAUAAAGCCUGUGGUUCAUUUCCAUUGUCUCUUUUCUUCUAUUUCCAAAAGAAACAAUGGCAGGCCUCUUUUUAUUGAUUUUUCCAGGCCUGUAACUUUAACUCUGCUGUUAUUUCCCGCCCCACCGACUUCUAUUAAGCUUUAAGGUUUAUAAAAGUCACUUUUCGUGCAUAAAAUCAUUUACCUCAAUCAUUUCCCCAACUCUUGGUAAAAUAGAAAAAAAACAAGCACCAGACAAUUUGAUCCAUAGGGAAAGGGAAACUUCUAUAACAACAGAGUAGGUACAGAGCACCUAUGUGGGUCCUGAAAAGACUUUCGAAAGAUUGAGUCGUAAAGGACUAAUAUUUUGCCUACCAUUAACAAAAGACAAAAAAUCAAAGCAGAUAGUUAAAUCUCUGUCAGAUUUUUUUCGUU